GACGAACGCUGGCGGCGUGCUUAACACAUGCAAGUCGAACGGAAAGGCCUGCUUUCCCUUGUGGAUUGCGGGUACUCGAGUGGCGAACGGGUGAGUAACACGUGAGUGAUCUGCCCCCAACUUGGGUAUAAGCCUGGGAAACUGGGUCUAAUUCCCGAUAGGACUGCAGGGUGGUGCCUGUGGUGGAAAACGAUUUUCUAGUGGUUGGGGAUGAGCUCGCGGCCUAUCAGCUUGUUGGUGGGGUAAUGGCCUACCAAGGCGGCGACGGGUAGCCGGCCUGGGAGGGUGGACGGCCGCAUUGAGACUGAGUCACGGCCCAGACUCCUACGGGAGGCAGCAGUGGGGAAUAUUGCGCAAUGGGCGGAAGCCUGAUGCAGCGACGCCGCGUGGGGGAUGACGGCCUUCGGGUUGUAAACUCCUUUCGACCGCGAGGAAGCCACCUGGUUGGAAGGGUGGUGACGGUAGUGGUAGAAGAAGCACCGGCUAACUACGUG
rnacentral:rRNA from 1 species